rnacentral:rRNA from 1 species
UACAGAGGGUGCGAGCGUUGUUCGGAAUUAUUGGGCGUAAAGGGCGCGUAGGCGGCGCAGCAAGUCACCUGUGAAAUCUCUGGGCUUAACUCAGAGCCUGCAGGCGAAACUGUGGUGCUGGAGUAUGGGAGAGGUGCGUGGAAUUCCCGGUGUAGCGGUGAAAUGCGUAGAUAUCGGAAGGAACACCAGUGGCGAAAGCGACUUCCUGGUCGAAUACUGACGCUGAGGCGCGAAAGCUAGGGGAGCAAACAGG